GGGGUCACCAAACUAGAGAAAAAUAACUUAUUAAAACAUGUUAAAUUUUUUAUGUUUUAUCGUUCCUUUUGGUAUUCUUUUUUAUUCCUGUUUAAAUCCGGUGGAUCACGCCUCAUCCUGCCGGUAGGGGGCGGUAGAAUCAACCCUCCCCUCACAGUGAACAUGGCGGUUGGAAGUCAUCGUUUUGUUGGUCCGGUGUUGCAUAAUUGUUCUUAACGUGCGUUUAUACUUUUGUAGUUUCAUCACCCGGACAGAAUAAUCCUAAAAACUCAGAUUGUAUCAGGCCGGUCCCGUCGGUCCGGUCCGUCAGUUCCCGGCGGCUUCCGGCGCUCCGCCGCGGUUGGGACUCGAUCCCGGUCGCUCGAGGUCGGGUUCGUCUCCGAUCUGAUGAGGAAACAUCUUCCUGGACAGCUGUGACGUCAUGGAGUCUGCAGAGGGACUGCCGUCGCCGCCGGAGCUCAAAGGCCGGCGGAGAGCAAGGACCCCCAAAUACCUCCACGACUAUGAAAGUGACGACAAGAACAUUCGUAAAAUUGUCCGACAGGAAGCUCAGAGAAGAAGCUCGAGGAGUAAGGAGUCCAACAGUCAGUGGAGAACUGAUGAGGAGGAGGAGGAGGAGGAGGAGGAAGAGGAGAAAAGGAGCCGCAAAUCCAGAGCAAAAAAGCCUAAAAAAGUCGGACGACCCAGAAAGCAUCCCGUGAAGGAGGGAAACGCCAACGGAGGGACCUGCAGGGCUGUGGGGGGGCGGGAUGCAGACGCUGCAGCUGCAGCUGCGCAGCCGGAGAACGGCACGCCAAAGCCCAAGAGGAACUACGCCAGGAAGCAGCAGAGAAGCUCGGAUCCUCCUCCUGACCCGCCUGCAGAGGAGCGUCCUGAAGCCGGGGAGGAGCCGGAACCAGGAGGCCGGCGCAGGAGAGGAGCGGCCAAGGCGGCGCUGAAAUAUCUCACUCUCCUGGCUAAAGAGGUGCUGUCCCAUCCCAACGAGGAUCCCGAAUCCAAGCCCCAUCCCGGGAAUGAAGACUCCAGAUCACAGAGGCAAACUCCUAACAAGAGGAAAGGCAGAGGUUGGAAGAGGAAGCGUGCAGACAGCGACGCUUCGGCGGAUGAAGAUUUCGUGCCGGAUGCUGCAGAAGAAGCGAAUCUGCUGGAAGAAGAAGAAGAAGAAGAAGAAGAAGAAGAAGAAGAAGAAGAAGAAGAAGAAGAAGUGAAGGACUCGGACUCUGACCCGGGGCUUCCAGAGAGGCGUCCAGCCGUGAACCACAGGAGCUGUGUAGGGCUCGCUCUCCUCUUCCUCUGGGUCUCUAGUUCAGUUCGUUUUUUGCUCAAAUCUCGUUUGCUUUUGCUUUGUUUGAAGAUUACACGCUUCAUCAUCAUCAUCAUCAUCAUCCUCGCUUUAAGAUAA
rnacentral:lncRNA from 1 species